rnacentral:rRNA from 1 species
GGGGCGAAAGCCUGACCCAGCCAUGCCGCGUGGAUGAUGAAGGUCUUAGGAUUGUAAAAUCCUUUUACCGGGGAAGAAAAUGACUGUACCCGGAAAAAAAGCCCCGGCUAACU